rnacentral:rRNA from 1 species
AGAGUUUGAUCCUGGCUCAGGAUGAACGCUGGCGGUAUGCUUAACACAUGCAAGUCGAACGGAAUCCUUAGGGAUUUAGUGGCGGACGGGUGAGUAACGCGUGAGAAUCUGCCUUCAGGUUCGGGACAACCACUGGAAACGGUGGCUAAUACCGAAUGUGCAGCAAUGUGAAAAAUUUAUUGCCUGAAGAUGAGCUCGCGUCUGAUUAGCUAGUAGGUGUGGUAAGAGCGCACCUAGGCGACGAUCAGUAGCUGGUCUGAGAGGAUGAUCAGCCACAUUGGGACUGAGACACGGCCCAAACUCCUACGGGAGGCAGCAGUGGGGAAUAUUGGACAAUGGGCGCAAGCCUGAUCCAGCCAUGCCGCGUGAGUGAUGAAGGCCUUAGGGUUGUAAAGCUCUUUCGUCCGGGACGAUAAUGACGGUACCGGAAGAAGAAGCCCCGGCUAACUUCGUGCCAGCAGCCGCGGUAAUACGAAGGGGGCUAGCGUUGUUCGGAAUUAUUGGGCGUAAAGAGCUCGUAGGCGGUUUGUCGCGUCUGCUGUGAAAGCCCGGGGCUUAACCCUGGGUCUGCAGUGGGUACGGGCAGACUGGAGUGCGGUAGGGGAGAUCGGAAUUCCUGGUGUAGCGGUGAAAUGCGCAGAUAUCAGGAAGAACACCGGUGGCGAAAGCGCUCUGCUGGACCUUAACUGACACUGAGGGACGAAAGCUAGGGGAGCGAAUGGGAUUAGAUACCCCCGUAGUCC